GGAGUUAGCCGGUGCUUCUUCUGUGAGUGAUGUCCUUCCUGCCGGCUAUUAACCCGCAGGCCUUCUUCCUCACUGAAAGUGCUUUACAACCCGAAGGCCUUCUUCACACACGCGGCAUGGCUGGAUCAGGGUUGCCCCCAUUGUCCAAUAUUCCCCACUGCUGCCUCCCGUAGGAGUCUGGGCCGUGUCUCAGUCCCAGUGUGGCUGAUCAUCCUCUCAGACCAGCUACGGAUCGUCGCCUUGGUGAGCCGUUACCUCACCAACCAGCUAAUCCGACAUAGGCUCAUCCGAUAGCGCGAGGCCCGAAGGUCCCCCGNUUUCCCCCGUAGGGCGUAUGCGGUAUUAGCCUGGGUUUCCCCAGGUUAUCCCCCACUACCGGGCAGAUUCCUAUGCAUUACUCACCCGUCCGCCGCUCGCCACCAGGGAGCAAGCUCCCCGUGCUGCCGCUCGACUUGCAUGUGUUAGGCCUGCCGCCACGCGUCAUCUGAGCCAGAAUACAACUACUGA
rnacentral:rRNA from 1 species